AUGAACCUUUGAGGGUUUGAGCUGGCGUUUAUUCGCAUGUGCUUGCCCUCUCAUCCUUUAUACACCUGUGCACUUUGAAGGGAGACAUUAGUAGACAUUCACUUGUCGAAGGUAUCUCCCUUUACACUACAUACUCUAUGAUUACUUGAUGUUUAAACGCUUAACAGCAUUUAAUUA
rnacentral:misc_RNA from 1 species